rnacentral:rRNA from 1 species
UACGUAGGGCGCAAGCGUUGUCCGGAAUUAUUGGGCGUAAAGAGCUCGUAGGCGGUUUGUCGCGUCUGCUGUGAAAACCUAAGGCUCAACCUUGGGCUUGCAGUGGGUACGGGCAGACUAGAGUGCGGUAGGGGUGACUGGAAUUCCUGGUGUAGCGGUGGAAUGCGCAGAUAUCAGGAGGAACACCGAUGGCGAAGGCAGGUCACUGGGCCGCAACUGACGCUGAGGAGCGAAAGCAUGGGGAGCAAACAGG